ensembl:lncRNA novel transcript
AGCAUGCUCUUAGCCUUCCUGAGCACCUUCCCUUUUUUCAGCCAACUGCUCGCUCGCUCACCUCCCUCCUUGGCACGAUGAGCACCUGCAGCCACCAGUUCACCUCCUCCAGAUCCAUGAAGGGCUCCUGCAGCAUCGGGGGCAGCAUCGGGGGCGGCUCCAGCCGCAUCUCCUCUGUCCUGGCCGGAGGGUCCUGCCAUGCCCCCAGCACCUACGGGGGGGCCUGUGCGUGCUCUGGAGGAGGCCAACGCCGACCUGGAAGUGAAGAUCCGUGACUGGUACCAGAGGCAGCGGCCCAGUGAGAUCAAAGACUAUAGUCCCUACUUCAAGACCAUCGAGGACCUGAGGCACAAGAUCAUUGCGGCCACCAUUGAGAAUGCGCAGCCCAUUUUGCAGAUUGACAAUGCCAGGCUGGCAGCUGAUGACUUCAGGACCAAUUAGGAGCACGAGCUGGCCCUGCGGCUGACUGUGGAGGCUGGCGUCAAUGGCCUGUGCCGGGUGUUGGACGAGCUGACCCUGGCCAGGACUGACCUGGAGAUGCAGAUAGAAGGCCUGAAGGAGGA